rnacentral:rRNA from 1 species
ACACGGUGGAUGCCCUGGCAGUCAGAGGCGAUGAAGGACGUGCUAAUCUGCGAUAAGCGUCGGUAAGGUGAUAUGAACCGUUAUAACCGGCGAUUUCCGAAUGGGGAAACCCAGUGUGUUUCGACACACUAUCAUUAACUGAAUCCAUAGGUUAAUGAGGCGAACCGGGGGAACUGAAACAUCUAAGUACCCCGAGGAAAAGAAAUCAACCGAGAUUCCCCCAGUAGCGGCGAGCGAACGGGGAGCAGCCCAGAGCCUGAAUCAGUGUGUGUGUUAGUGGAAGCGUCUGGAAAGGCGUGCGAUACAGGGUGACAGCCCCGUACACAAAAAUGCACAUGCUGUGAGCUCGAUGAGUAGGGCGGGACACGUGGUAUCCUGUCUGAAUAUGGGGGGACCAUCCUCCAAGGCUAAAUACUCCUGACUGACCGAUAGUGAACCAGUACCGUGAGGGAAAGGCGAAAAGAACCCCGGCGAGGGGAGUGAAAAAGAACCUGAAACCGUGUACGUACAAGCAGUGGGAGCACGCUUAGGCGUGUGACUGCGUACCUUUUGUAUAAUGGGUCAGCGACUUAUAUUCUGUAGCAAGGUUAACCGAAUAGGGGAGCCGAAGGGAAACCGAGUCUUAACUGGGCGUUAAGUUGCAGGGUAUAGACCCGAAACCCGGUGAUCUAGCCAUGGGCAGGUUGAAGGUUGGGUAACACUAACUGGAGGACCGAACCGACUAAUGUUGAAAAAUUAGCGGAUGACUUGUGGCUGGGGGUGAAAGGCCAAUCAAACCGGGAGAUAGCUGGUUCUCCCCGAAAGCUAUUUAGGUAGCGCCUCGUGAAUUCAUCUCCGGGGGUAGAGCACUGUUUCGGCAAGGGGGUCAUCCCGACUUACCAACCCGAUGCAAACUGCGAAUACCGGAGAAUGUUAUCACGGGAGACACACGGCGGGUGCUAACGUCCGUCGUGAAGAGGGAAACAACCCAGACCGCCAGCUAAGGUCCCAAAGUCAUGGUUAAGUGGGAAACGAUGUGGGAAGGCCCAGACAGCCAGGAUGUUGGCUUAGAAGCAGCCAUCAUUUAAAGAAAGCGUAAUAGCUCACUGGUCGAGUCGGCCUGCGCGGAAGAUGUAACGGGGCUAAACCAUGCACCGAAGCUGCGGCAGCGACGCUGAUGCGUUGUUGGGUAGGGGAGCGUUCUGUAAGCCUGCGAAGGUGUGCUGUGAGGCAUGCUGGAGGUAUCAGAAGUGCGAAUGCUGACAUAAGUAACGAUAAAGCGGGUGAAAAGCCCGCUCGCCGGAAGACCAAGGGUUCCUGUCCAACGUUAAUCGGGGCAGGGUGAGUCGACCCCUAAGGCGAGGCCGAAAGGCGUAGUCGAUGGGAAACAGGUUAAUAUUCCUGUGCUUGGUGUUACUGCGAAGGGGGGACGGAGAAGGCUAUGUUGGCCGGGCGACGGUUGUCCCGGUUUAAGCGUGUAGGCUGGUUUUCCAGGCAAAUCCGGAAAAUCAAGGCUGAGGCGUGAUGACGAGGCACUACGGUGCUGAAGCAACAAAUGCCCUGCUUCCAGGAAAAGCCUCUAAGCAUCAGGUAACAUCAAAUCGUACCCCAAACCGACACAGGUGGUCAGGUAGAGAAUACCAAGGCGCUUGAGAGAACUCGGGUGAAGGAACUAGGCAAAAUGGUGCCGUAACUUCGGGAGAAGGCACGCUGAUAUGUAGGUGAAGUCCCUCGCGGAUGGAGCUGAAAUCAGUCGAAGAUACCAGCUGGCUGCAACUGUUUAUUAAAAACACAGCACUGUGCAAACACGAAAGUGGACGUAUACGGUGUGACGCCUGCCCGGUGCCGGAAGGUUAAUUGAUGGGGUCAGCGCAAGCGAAGCUCUUGAUCGAAGCCCCGGUAAACGGCGGCCGUAACUAUAACGGUCCUAAGGUAGCGAAAUUCCUUGUCGGGUAAGUUCCGACCUGCACGAAUGGCGUAAUGAUGGCCAGGCUGUCUCCACCCGAGACUCAGUGAAAUUGAACUCGCU